rnacentral:rRNA from 1 species
UGGUCCCUACGGGGGGCAGCAGUGAGGAAUAUUGGUCAAUGGGCUUACGCCUGAACCAGCCAAGUCGCGUGAGGGAAGACUGCCCUAUGGGUUGUAAACCUCUUUUGUCAGGGAGCAAUUGGCGCUACGUGUAGCGUUAUCGAGAGUACCUGAAGAAAAAGCAUCGGCUAACUCCGUGCCAGCAGCCGCGGUAAUACGGAGGAUGCGAGCGUUAUCCGGAUUUAUUGGGUUUAAAGGGAGCGUAGGCCGGCUUUUAAGUCAGCUGUGAAAGUCCGCGGCUCAACCGUGGAAUUGCAGUUGAAACU